AUCCUUUUGUAGUUCAUGAGUGUGAUGAUUGGGUGUUCAUACGAUUGUGUGAGAUGUGCCACCCUUAAACCUUGUUACGACGCGGGCACAUUACCCUUCUGACG
ensembl:snoRNA SNORD13 small nucleolar RNA, C/D box 13